UACGUAGGGUGCGAGCGUUAAUCGGAAUACUGGGCGUAAAGCGUGCGCAGGCGGUGAUGUAAGACCGAUGUGAAAUCCCCGGGCUUAACCUGGGAACUGCAUUGGUGACUGCAUUGCUGGAGUAUGGCAGAGGGGGGUGGAAUUCCACGUGUAGCAGUGAAAUGCGUAGAGAUGUGGAGGAAUACCGAUGGCGAAGGCAGCCCCCUGGGCCAAUACUGACGCUCAUGCACGAAGCGUGGGAGCAAACAGG
rnacentral:rRNA from 1 species